rnacentral:misc_RNA from 1 species
AUUUAGACAUGCUGUUUUCCAGGUAUGGUAUAAUUUAUUUUAGAGUUUUUGGUAUUGUCCAUGUUUAAGUAACGGACUUUUGAGCUAUUUUGCUCCUGUUCUUCUUAGUUUUUUGGUAGAGGUGUUGAAGAGUUAAUUAAAAAAUUAAAAUUAAAUCAUUUUUCAGCAUAGUUUUUAUUGAUGGUUAUUCACACUCGAUAUUUCUUAAAUGCAGUCCAUCCCA